UCCCAUCCGGUGCCUGCUCUUUCUCAUUUGAAAGCCGGGAAAACGUUCAAUAUUGGUAGCAAAACGUAACUCUACUCUCCAUAAGCCCCGACUUCACUCCUUUCUCCUGUCCCUACUCUCAUUCUCGAUACGGAAACUCGGUCCCUAAUCUCAAUCCCUAUCUUCUCUCGCGGCGGAAAGGCAGGAAGCUCGGAGCCAUCAACUCAAUGGAUCGG
rnacentral:lncRNA from 1 species